GAAUUUUAGUCAGUUGUCCCACCUUUUCCCUUCUUCUCUUACAUCUCUGGACAUAACUGGAUUUGAUAAUCUGGAAUCACUUUCAACCGGACUCCAACACCUCACAUCCCUUCAACAUCUGGCCAUUUUCAGCUGCCCAAAGGUGAACGAUCUACCAGAGAUGCUGUUACCUUCACUUUUGAGUUUGAUAAUAGGUAAUUGCCCAAAAUUGAAAGAAAGGUGUGAAGGAAGAGGCUCCCACUACUGGCCACUCAUUUCUCAUAUCCCCUGCAUCGACAAUUGAAGACUAAUUGAAAUAAAGUCACUGGAAACAGAUUUCCUGUCGUCAAUACCAAAUCACCGGAGACAUCGUACCACCAUCUUCACACAUCAUAUCGGAUUUAUAAAGCCAUCACAGCUUUUCCGGCGACCUGUCAGUUAAAGAAAGAAGAAAAUCUAUCAAGGUUUCUUCAAAUCAACAAAACAGAUCCAAGACACAUCGUAAUUGUUGGAAAGGGCACUACGUCUACUGUGUUAACUUGGUUCACUUACAUGCUUCAAACAUCCUGAGAUUCAAGAUAAGGUUGCAACAGAAAUCAAAGAAACAACAAAACUGAGAAACCAUGCCACAAAUGUUGUAGAAUUUGCAAACGCUGUGAAAAAAUGCAAAAUCUUCAUGCAGAUUUCAACGGAACUAUCAAGACUAUCAUGCAGUUCCAGUGGUAUGCUAUUUCAGAUAUUUAGCAAUUUCUAAUACUUCGACUUACAGGAGAGUCUCGUACAUGUGGAAACAAUACCAUCAGAUGCCAUAUUUAUGUAUGCUUUCCGGUGUGAUGAUGUAUCUGUUGGUUAUGAGGUGAAGAAAGGAGAUACCGUACCAUAUCAGCCAUACGCAAGGGUUAAGUUUGAUGAGUUUGAACCAGAAGAUGGUUUCAUCACAUUGUUGCUUUCAUCCAGAAAGCUCCUUUAAGUUUACAGCUUUGCAGAAACACAAGCAGGACAAAGAAUUUGUUCGGCUCAAGAAUCUGCGUAUGUGCAGAUGAAGAUCUUUGUUUCUAUUUAAGUUGAUCCAUGAUCUAGCAUACUCGUAUUUGGUGCAACUAGACACACGGAAGUGGACUGGAAAAUGGUUCAAGCUAAAAAGGGCAUAACUUUCAUUAUGUUUGAAGUUAUACAGGGAUAAAUAAUGGACACAAACGCCUCAACGAGCCACAUGAAUGGACAAAUGCUAUAGGCGGGUUUUCUGACUCUCGGCACCCAAUUUUGAACUCAAGGCUGUUAAUUUCAAGGAACCCUUGGAGCGGUUACAGGUUGCGCCUGGUGGCACUUGUCGUUCAUGGUCCAAGUUACAUACCUUUUAUUGGAACUUAUAACCAAUGAAGAAUUAAUGGAAUUUUGCCUCUAAUGGCGAGUUACCACUAAUGAGGAUUAUGGAACUAGCCUAUGAUGUCAAGUUACCAUCUGAUGAAUAUUAAAGGAACUUACCACUGAAACAAGUUACCUCUAGUGAAGAUCGAUGAAGUCUCGCUAAUGAAGAAGAGAUAUCACGUGUUAGCCUAUCAUUUGACGAAGACAAUCGGUUGAGAAGAUGUUAUACGUAACUGUCACUUGUCAAUUUUGUACAUCUCAACAAGAUAACAAAAACAUGAUCCGCAUUGAAUUUAUUAUCACUCGACCCCAUAGAUUAUUGUGUCAAGUAGUUGAGAGUGAAUUCGGUGCAUGAACUUAUGUGUGCAAACUUCAGAGGAAAUUUGCAAGUCGUAGAACCUUGCAUAGCUAGGAUAUCGUCUUGAAUUUCAAUUGUGAUUUGUGACUAGCUUUACAUUAUGUAUUGAAACAUUCGAUUUAGUAAUGUAGUUUUUAAAAGACUUGGUUUUUCUA